rnacentral:rRNA from 1 species
UACGGAGGGUGCGAGCGUUGUCCGGAAUCAUUGGGCGUAAAGGGCGCGUAGGUGGCCCGGUCAGUUCGUGGUGAAAGCGCGGGGCUCAACCCUGCGUCGGCCAUGAAUACUGCCGCGGCUGGAGCACUGUAGAGGCAGGCGGAAUUCCGGGUGUAGCGGUGGAAUGCGUAGAGAUCCGGAAGAACACCGGUGGCGAAGGCGGCGUUCUGGACUGUUUCUGACACUGAAUAACGAAAGCCAGGGGAGCAAACGGG